rnacentral:rRNA from 1 species
UUAGAGUUUGAUCAUGGCUCAGGACGAACGCUGGCGGCGUGCUUAACACAUGCAAGUCGACGAUGAUGCCCAGCUUGCUGGGUUGAUUAGUGGCGAACGGGUGAGUAACACGUGAGUAACUGCCCCUGACUCUGGGAUAAGCGUUGGAAACGACGUCUAAUACUGGAUAUGAUCGCCGGCGCAUGGUCUGGUGGUGGAAAGAUUUUUUGGUUGGGGAUGGACUCGCGGCCUAUCAGCUUUUGGUGAGGUAAUGGCUCACCAAGGCGACGACGGGUAGCCGGCCUGAGAGGGUGACCGGCACACUGGGACUGAGACACGGCCCAGACUCCUACGGGAGGCAGCAGUGGGGAAUAUUGCACAUGGGCGAAAGCCUGAUGCAGCAACGCCGCGUGAGGGAUGACGGCCUUCGGGUUGUAAACUCUUUUAGUAGGGAAGAAGCGAAAGUGACGGUACCUGCAGAAAAAGCACCGGCUAACUACUGCCAGCAGCCGCGGUAAUACGUAGGGUGCAAGCGUUGUCCGGAAUUAUUGGGCGUAAAGGCUCGUAGGCGGUUUGUCGCGUCUGCUGUGAAAUCCCGAGGCUCAACCUCGGGCUUGCAGGGGUACGGGCAGACUAGAGUGCGGUAGGGGAGAUUGGAAUUCCUGGUGUAGCGGUGGAAUCGCAGAUAUCAGGAGGAACACCGAUGGCGAAGGCAGAUCUCUGGGCCGUAACUGACGCUGGGAGCGAAAGCAUGGGGAGCGAACAGGAUUAGAUACCCUGGUAGUCCAUGCCGUAAACGUGGGCGCUAGAUGUAGGGACCUUUCCACGGUUUCUGUGUCGUAGCUAACGCAUUAAGCGCCGCCUGGGGAGUACGGCCGCAAGGCUAAAACUCAA